GUUUUACACCGGGUGGCCGCUCUUGUUUUAAACAAGAGAGGAAAGUCCGAACACCCCCCGCCCAAGGCGAGGCAAUCCCGCCCAAGGCGAGGCAAGGGUAGUGGCUAACAGCCACGCUGUCUUGUAGAAAUACAAGAUGGACAGAUAGCGCAACAGAAAAUAUACCGCCUACUUUUACUUUAAGUAGGUAAGGGUGAAAUCGUGCAUUAAGAGUGCACGCAUUGGUAUGGUGACAUAUCAAUGUGGCAAACACUUACCUGGUGCAAGGCCGUACUAAUGGUAUUUUAUGCCAUUAGGGUGCCGCUUGAGCUGUUUAGUAAUAAACAGCCUAGAUAAAUGGCCACCGUCCUGUUUUAUACAGGAUACAGAAUUCGGCUUAUAGGUGUAAAACAAAA
rnacentral:RNase_P_RNA from 1 species